ACGUAGGGGGCAAGCGUUGUCCGGAAUCAUUGGGCGUAAAGCGCGUGUAGGCGGCCACGUUAGUCCGCUCUGAAAGCCCGGGGCUCAACCCCGGGAGGCGGGUGGAUACUGCGUGGCUCGAGUCCGGAAGAGGCGAGUGGAAUUCCUGGUGUAGCGGUGAAAUGCGCAGAUAUCAGGAGGAACACCAAUGGCGAAGGCAGCUCGCUGGGACGUGACUGACGCUGAGACGCGAAAGCGUGGGGAGCAAACAG
rnacentral:rRNA from 1 species